UCCAGAGGGCCUCGGUACGUCAGGCUCACACAGACCACCUUGUCUGCUGUGUGUGGCCCAGCGUGUAGGCUGCUGUUUGAGAUGUGACCUUCCCGAGCGGCCGGGGUGUGUUUGCUGCUGGACAGCUCGGCCGAGCCCGGUGGGAGCAUGGUGGGGAGGGCAGGGGCUGCGCAGAGCAGAGGCCUGCCCACCGUGGUGUGUGCACAGCCAGGGCACCCCUGGAGGGGACGCAGCGGCCACCUAGAAGAGGCAGGAAGGCUUCCUUCCCAGUGCCUGCAGGUGAGGUGUCAGCACUGCUUUUCCAACUGGAGUAUAAAACACCCUGUGUAGGUCCUGAAAUGGAACUUCUCAUGCAGACUAGCAGGUGUGAACAGAGGUCAUCAAAGCCCUUGUUCAUACUGCUCCCUCGGGGACGACAGGGCUUCUCCCAGUCCCGGGACCCCCUUGCAGGCAGGACGCGCUGGGUUCCUCCGGCCGCGCGGCACCAGCCAGCACCGGGUUUGUGGGCUGGCCUGGCCCUCCGGCCGCAACAUCCUCGUCCCGCGCUGUCUCCUUCUAUAGUCACGGGCAAGCCUCCUGACACUCCUGUGCGGAAUCAUGCAUCAUAAACCAGGAGUCAUGAGCUGGAUGACAACUUGGGAAAGAUCCCUCUCAAGACUCACAACCAGCCCCCUCUCCCCAAGGGUGUGUACGCCCCAAAGUUGGUCUCUGCUCACAGCACGAAGCGUCUCUGGGGUGGACAGAGUCAGUGCAGUGAAAGGAGGCGGCACUGAAUUCGUUUCUCACAAGCGAUUCCUGUUCUUGUAAGCCUUCCUGACACCACCCUCAUGGCAGAAAGUGAAGAACUAAAGAGCCUUUUGAUGAAAGUGAAAGAGGAGAGUGAAAAAGUUGGCUUAAAGCUCAACAUUCAGAAAACUAAGAUCAUGGC